GAUGAACGCUGGCGGCGUGCCUAAUACAUGCAAGUCGAGCGAACAGACGAGGAGCUUGCUCCUCUGACGUUAGCGGCGGACGGGUGAGUAACACGUGGAUAACCUACCUAUAAGACUGGGAUAACUUCGGGAAACCGGAGCUAAUACCGGAUAAUAUAUUGAACCGCAUGGUUCAAUAGUGAAAGACGGUUUUGCUGUCCCUUAUAGAUGGAUCCGCGCCGCAUUAGCUAGUUGGUAAGGUAACGGCUUACCAAGGCAACGAUGCGUAGCCGACCUGAGAGGGUGAUCGGCCACACUGGAACUGAGACACGGUCCAGACUCCUACGGGAGGCAGCAGUUGGGAAUCUUCCGCAAUGGGCGAAAGCCUGACGGAGCAACGCCGCGUGAGUGAUGAAGGUCUUCGGAUCGUAAAACUCUGUUAUUAGGGAAGAACAAAUGUGUAAGUAACUAUGCACGUCUUGACGGUACCUAAUCAGAAAGCCACGGCUAACUACGU
rnacentral:rRNA from 1 species